ACCUGUUGCGGGCGGCCGCGUAGUGGCACCCGCAGCACCAGACACACACCGUGCCAUGGGAAGAACGUGGCACUUCAGGGCGUU
rfam:Actinobacteria bacterium OK006 ctg15, whole genome shotgun sequence.